AUGGAUGCAACCCAUGCAAUGACCCAGAAGAGAGUUUUGGGUCCCCCGGAACUGGCUCUUCAGACAGUUGUCAGCCGCUGGAUGAGGGUGCUAAGAACUUCACCUGGGUCCUCUGCAAGAGCAGCAAGUGCCCUUAACCAUGAAGCCAUCUUUCCAGCACCAUGUGGUCAAUCUUAUAAUCUACAGACCACAUCCUUCACAGUUAUUUAGUGCCUCUGGAAAAGUGUGUUCUGAGGACAUAGUCUUCUGCCCCGUCUGCACACCGAAAAGCUUUUAUGCAGAGUGGCCAUCCAGCAUGAAGAAACGUUGACAUUGAACAUUUUGUCCAUAUGACAGGGUGAACAAGCAGAAAAGGAGACUCCAGGGUCACUGGCUCCCCCGUCUACCUAGCCUUUGAGAACUCAUGAAGAAGCUGCCUCUACACAUUGUUUUAUGUCAGAUAGGUCCCCUGCCCCAUAUGAUU